GGUUAAGAUGCUAGGUUAGGUUAGACUUCGUUAGUUAAGUCAGGUUGGGUCAGAUUGUGUUAGGUUAGGUUGUUAGAUUGGGUUAGGUUAGGUUGUUAGAUUGGGUUAGGUUAGGUUGUUAGAUUGGGUUAGGUUAGGUUGUUAGAUUGGGUUAGGUUAGGUUGUUAGAUUGGGUUAGGUUAGGUUGUUAGAUUGGGUUAGGUUAGGUUGUUAGAUUGGGUUAGAUUGCAUUAGGUUAGGUUGUUAGAUUGGGUUAGAUUGCAUUAGGUUAGGUUGUUAGAUUGGGUUAGGUUAGGUUGUUAGAUUGGGUUAGGUUAGGUUGUUAGAUUGGGUUAGGUUAGGUUGUUACAUUGGGUUAGGUUAGGUUGUUAGAUUGGGUUAGGUUAGGUUGUUACAUUGUGUUAGGUUAGGUUGUUAGAUUGGGUUAGGUUAGGUUGUUAGAUUGGGUUAGGUUAGGUUGUUACAUUGGGUUAGGUUAGGUUUUAGGUUGGGUUAGAUUGCAUUGGGUUAGGUUGUUAGAUUGGUUAGAUUGUGUUAGGUUGUUAGAUUGUGUUAGGUUAGGUUAGAUUUCUGUCUCUUCUAUUUUGACUGAACUGGGGAUUUGUCUCUAUCACCGUGGCCGCCAAGUCUGAGGUGCACAUUAUCACGCUCUGGCCGCCUGCUGUAUUUACCAAGUUGUUGUUUUACAGGGCCUGGGCUUACGCUCGUCUGGUCCCGUCUCCAUAUCUGUACUCAUCUAGUUUUUCCUUAACCCGUCUGCUGCGAUUGGAACAAAUUAGGCUUUCACUGGUAGCCUGAUAACAUAUACUCCCAUGUCUUUCUCUGCCUCUGUGGUGGAUAGUGGAGUGUUUCCCAUGUGGUAUUGGUGUGCUGGAUAUCCCUUCACUGGUAGCCUGAUAACAUAUACUCCCAUGUCUUUCUCUGCCUCUGUGGUGGAUAGUGGAGUGUUUCCCAUGUGGUAUUGGUGUGCUGGAUAUCCCUUCACUGGUAGCCUGAUAACAUAUACUCCCAUGUCUUUCUCUGCCUCUGUGGUGGAUAGUGGAGUGUUUCCCAUGUGGUAUUGGUGUGCUGGAUAUCCCUUCACUGGUAGCCUGAUAACAUAUACUCCCAGGUCUUUCUCUGCCUCUGUGGUGGAUAGUGGAGUGUUUCCCAUGUGGUAUUGGUGUGCUGGAUAUCCCUUCACUGGUAGCCUGAUAACAUACACUCCCAGGUCUUUCUCUGCCUCUGUGGUGGAUAGUGGAGUGUUUCCCAUGUGGUAUUGGUGUGCUGGAUAUCCCUUCACUGGUAGCCUGGUAACAUACACUCCCAGGUCUUUCUCUGCCUCUGUGGUGGAUAGUGGAGUGUUUCCCAUGUGGUAUUGGUGUGCUGGAUAUCCCUUCACUGGUAGCCUGAUAACAUAAACUCCCAGGUCUUUCUCUGCCUCUGUGGUGGAUAGUGGAGUGUUUCCCAUGUGGUAUUGGUGUGCUGGAUAUCCCUUCACUGGUAGCCUGAUAACAUAUACUCCCAUGUCUUUCUCUGCCUCUGUGGUGGAUAGUGGAGUGUUUCCCAUGUGGUAUUGGUGUGCUGGAUAUCCCUUCACUGGUAGCCUGAUAACAUAUACUCCCAUGUCUUUCUCUGCCUCUGUGGUGGAUAGUGGAGUGUUUCCCAUGUGGUAUUGGUGUGCUGGAUAUCCCUUCACUGGUAGCCUGAUAACAUAUACUCCCAUGUCUUUCUCUGCCUCCGUGGUGGAUAGUGGAGUGUUUCCCAUGUGGUAUUGGUGUGCUGGAUAUCCCCUCCCAAGGUGCAGGACCACAUUUUUCUUCACUGAAUUGUAGCAGCCACUUUUUGAUCCAUUCCUGUAGCUUGGUGAGGUCUUCUUGUAGGAAAUCCGCAGUCAACAGGUUAAAGUUGUGCACACUCUUCGCUGAUACUACUUCCUCACUUAGUCUAUUCCAAAACUCUAUGCUUCUUUGUGGGGAGCCGCGGCAUGUCUGAGUUUGUGUAUCUCUCUUAUAGAACAGCUGUCAGUAGUGAUGGUGCAGCAGCAGCAAACUGGGGUGGGUAAAGGUAGAAGUGGGUGCAUGCGUUACAGCUGUGCGUUGCUGCGGUGCUCAUCCCCUAACCCUUGAUCCUUGAGCCUGUAGGGGCCGGGAAUCCACCACCCCGGGACACAGGUCAGUGUGAAAUCUAAGACUGCCACAGUUUACCUUCCUCAGGAGUCCCCAGGUAUGCAUUUAUCCACCAGCCACAGAGGGAGGAUGAACAGCUGGGUGACCUGCAAGCCGACAGCCCGGGCCGGGAUUCCAACCAAGGCCUGUGGAGUCAUAGCCAGGCACGCUGACCACUAGGCCACAGAGGCAUGCUGGGCCAGAUGCUUACUCCUAAAGGCUGGGUUGUUCACAGACCACUUCUUGAUAAGACUAGUGCCUUUAUUGGCUGUGGCAAGAUUAUUUCACUGUCCUUUGGCCUCUUGAGACACUGGUAGCCUCCUUGAGACGUGAAAACUGCAAGGCUUGGCAAUUAUCACACACGCUUAUUUCCUAAUCAUACAUGUAACACAAGGGUAUCAGGACACCCCUUCUCCUGAAAUUGACCUCUCUUUCGGCCACCUAUUUUGAUUCUUUUUAUAGGAGCAGCGAGUAGUGGGCUUUUUUUUAUUAUUGUUUCCUUUUUUUGUGCCCUUGAGCUGUCUCCUUUGUUUAAAAAAAAAAAAAAGGGCAUCACCAAACACAAUUUAAAACAACUUGCCUGCAACUUAGGAGCACAGCAGCCUGGUAAUAGAGAUAAUCACAAAGUAUAAACAGGCUUGACGCAACACACACUGGCUUCUGAGCAUGGCAGGGAAUGUACAGGGUGACCGCGGGACCCAAAAAAUGCCACCUCCAAGCUCCGAGGCAAACUAUUCUGUAUGUCUACGUCAACAACAGAAAUAAUGCCAUGAAUAAUAAUAAUAACAAUAGUAAUAAUUGUAAUAUAUGAUCUAGUCGUAACAAUUGGUACUAUGCAGGCAGCAAAUGAAUAUACUGUCAAUUGCGACGGACAGUUAAGUUUCACAUGCAUACCGUGGCAGACGCUGGUUUGUUAUGCUUUUCUCAGUGGAGGGCAGCACCACGGCUAUCUAAUAAUUAUAAUAAGCAGUCUAAUAUAUCAACAAAACAGGUGUGACAAAUGCAUGAACAGUGUUGAUAUAUGACUUAGAAUUGAGGGUAUUGGCAACUAUUGUCUGCAUAUUAAAUUCCGCCGCCAUGUUGCUUCUCUUUCUAUCUUCUAUCGAUAUUUUCACGCUGACUGCUCUUCUGAACUUGUUAACUGCAUGCCUUCCCCCUCCCAUGGCCCCGCUGCACACGACUUUCUACUCAUGCUCAUCCCUAUACUGUCCAAAUCCUUUAUGCAAGAGUUAACCAGUAUCUUCACUCUUUCAUCCCUAUACUGUCCAAAUCCCUUAUGCAAGAGUUAACUGGCAUCUUCACUCUUUCAUCCCUAUACUGUCCAAAUCCCUUAUGCAAGAGAUAUCCAGCAUCUUCACUCUUUCACCCCUAUACUGUCCAAAUCCCUUAUGCAAAAGUUAACCAGCAUCUUCACUCUUUCAUCCCUAUACUGUCCAAAUCCCUUAUGCAAGAGUUAACCAGCAUCUUCACUCUUUCAUCCCUAUACUGUCCAAAUCCCUCAUCCAAGAGAUAUCCAGCAUCUUCACUCUUUCAUCCCUAUACUGUCCAAAUCCCUUAUGCAAGAGUUAACCAGCAUCUUCACUCUUUCAUCCCUAUACUGUCCAAAUCCCUUAUGCAAGAGUUAACCAGCAUCUUCACUCUUUCAUCCCUAUACUGUUCAAACCCCUUAUGCAAGAGUUAAUCAGCAUCUUCACUCUUUCAUCCCUAUA